AUCAGUAUUUGCAGAUUUCGUUUACAUUGAGUGUUGAAAAUGUUGAUGAAUAACAUCAUUUUUUGCGAGUAAGCGAAAUAGGGAAGUUAAAUACUUGAACACUAAAGAACUUGUAGCAACAUGGAUAAAUUGAUGUAUAUGGUAGCGAGCCUACUGCCGUUUGUAUGUACUGAAACUUGCCCACCUGGGUAUGGAUAUAAUAACAAUGAUCCAACUUGCCAAAAAUGCCAUUUUACUGGAUGCAUAUGUACAAAUAUUGCCAGUUGUAUGGGAUGCUUGGACGGAUACUUUAUUAAGCGAUACCUGUGCUCGCCAUGCCCGGCUGGAUGUCUGACGUGCACCAACACAACAUGUACAAGCUGAUAACAUGGUUAUACCGGAGUAAAUUGUGACACAGAGAUAUGUGCAAACGGGAACUGUUUAUGUGAAUCAUCCUGGGAAUGUGAUUCGUGUGUAGGUGGAUACUACGAUGCAUUCAGUAAUUGCACAUACCAGUGCAAUCAUAACUGCUCUUCAUGUAUCGAUAAUGACACAUGCGAAUCC